GGGGAACAAACAUUCAGUGUCAUACGCUCAAAAAGAUGCAUUGAAGCGAAUAGGGAUUGACAUAUGUGUCAGUGAUUUGCACACAAGAAUUAGACGUACCAAAGAGCGGUCUCUAGGAUCUGCUCCCCCCUCCUCCCUCGCGUCGCCCCGCAGGGGCGACUCGGGGGCGAUCCAGAUCCCGUUCGUCGCCACCCCCCUUCCUCCGCUUCUCCCCUUGCCGCCGCCGGAGGCAGCCGUCGGCAACCACGUGCGAACGCCGAUGAGGGUGGCGGCGAGGUCUUCGGUCGCGUUUCCUCCCUGGGAACGGACCUAGGGUUCCAGGCGGCGGCCUUGGUGGCGUGGGCGGCGCCGUCCCGACGGCGGGCGGCGGACGCCGGAGUUGGGGCCGCCUCCCCUCGGCUGCGUGGGCGGCGAGGCGGCGGUGGACUGGGGCGUCGUGCGUUGGGGCCCCCGCGUCCCUCUUCACCAGAUCUGAAGACGGUGUCCCGUCGCUUGCAGCAGCCUCCUCUAUGUUAGGUUCGACCCGAUCUGGUUGUUGGCUGCGUGGAUGUGGAGUGGGGUGCUCUGGAUCGGGGUAACCCCUUGGCCUCCGGCGGCGGCGGCGGCCACCUCGUCGUCUCCUUCCUGAAGGCGGCGUUGAGGUUCACCUCCCCCUCCUCCCCUUCCCCUGCACCCGGGUGAAAGCCCACAACUUUGGUUUGGGCGGCGGCGGCGCCAUGGCAGCGUCGUUACCUUUUUGAACGCGCCGUUUUGGGUCUGUGGGGGGGCGGGCAGGCUGUUGUGAGCUUCGGGAGCUCCCGGUGGCGGCGGCUUCUCCUUCUGGUGGUGACUCUUCGCCAUGGAUGACCAGUUCCCUCCUAUGGCCAUCGUGCUCUCCCCCAUGUGGUUCUGUCUGCCCGGCGGAUAAACGCCCACGGCCUGGGCUAGAGGGGAUAGUGGUCCCUCUUCGGCGACAUGGACGCGACGGUGGCUGAGUUGGUGGCCUUGGCGAGCUCUGGUUCCUCCUAGUGGCUGUGUUGCUCAAAUCAGUGCCGUGUCUUCUUGGGACGCCUAUGGUCCUUGCCUUGCAUCAACAACAUGCUUCAAUUGUGGGCUGCUGCUUGUGUUCGAUGUGCUUGCUGGAGUGGUCGCGCCCUUUGCCUUCGGUCGGCCUGACAUCUAUGGCGAGCUUGCUCUCGGGGAGCAGUUUCUCCUUGUCGACGGCGCAGCAUCACUCAAGCCUGUGCGUGAAGAGUUGGCCCUCGUCUGUUGGUGGUGGCUUUCAAUCUUGUUGGCUUCAGGUGCAGAACGAUCUCUUCCGGUGGCGCGAUUCCCCUCAAGAACUUAGAUCUUCAAGUUGUAGCCUUUUCUUUUAUCGUUGCGCUUGUGCUUUCCUUUAGCUCCUUGUAUCGGCCGCUGUAGGGUUGCAUCCCUGUCUUAUUUUCUUUCCUUGUUGCUGGGUCUGUUUCCGCUGUAAUCCUGGCCGGUUGAUAGCUUUGUUAAUUCAAAGCCGGGCUAUGCUCGAGCCCUUCUCGGGCUCGGAUUGUGUCUUUCCCUAAAAAAAGAGCGUUCUCUAGAAAAACCAUUCGGAGGAAGCGUCAACUCAAUAGUUUUCCGAACAAACUCUACUAUAUCAAUCUUCCUAGGGGUUAAAGGCCUCCCAUUCCACCGAGGACAUUGGUUUUUUGAUUGGGUUCCUAAUUUUGACUUGGUCAAUAAUUUUUCUAGACGCUCUCUCAUCCAAAUGAGAUGUUUAAUUUUAAAUUUAGUUUAUGAUUUGGACCAGCCAAUGAUUUCUCAAAUCAAUCGGUAACAACAUGCUUAUAAAAAUAUAUUAG
rnacentral:rRNA from 1 species